AGCGAACGCUGGCGGCAGGCUUAACACAUGCAAGUCGAGCGGGCCCUUCGGGGUCAGCGGCGGACGGGUGAGUAACGCGUGGGAACGUGCCCUCUGGUCUGGAAUAACCCUGGGAAACUAGGGCUAAUACCGGAUACGCCCUUUUGGGGAAAGGCUUGCUGCCGGAGGAUCGGCCCGCGUCUGAUUAGCUAGUUGGUGGGGUAACGGCCUACCAAGGCGACGAUCAGUAGCUGGUCUGAGAGGAUGAUCAGCCACACUGGGACUGAGACACGGCCCAAACUCCUACGGGAGGCAGCAGUGGGGAAUAUUGGACAAUGGGCGCAAGCCUGAUCCAGCCAUGCCGCGGGAGUGAUGAAGGCCUUAGGGUUGUAAAGCUCUUUCGUCCGGGACGAUAAUGACGGUACCGGAAGAAGAAGCCCCGGCUAACUUCGUGCCAGCAGCCGCGGUAA
rnacentral:rRNA from 1 species